AGGACGAACGCUGGCGGCGUGCUUAACACAUGCAAGUCGAGCGGAAAGGCCUUUCGGGGUACUCGAGCGGCGAACGGGUGAGUAACACGUGAGUAAUCUGCCCAUCGCUUCAGGAUAGCCAUCGGAAACGGUGAUUAAUACUGGAUAUGACAUUCCUUCGCAUGUUGGGGUGUGGAAAGUUUUUUCGGCGGUGGAUGUGCUCGCGGCCUAUCAGCUUGUUGGUGGGGUAAUGGCCUACCAAGGCUUUGACGGGUAGCCGGCCUGAGAGGGUGACCGGCCACACGUGGGACUGAGACACGGCCCAGACUCCUACGGGAGGCAGCAGUGGGGAAUAUUGGACAAUGGGCGGAAGCCUGAUCCAGCAACGCCGCGUGAGGAUGACGGCCUCGGUUGUAACCGUCUUCUGC
rnacentral:rRNA from 1 species